UCCCGUUGAUCCUGCGGGAGGUUGCUGCUAUUAGGAUUCGACUAAGCCAUGCAAGUCAGGGGUUCUUCGGAACACCGGCGAAAGGCUCAGUAACACGUCGAUAAUCUGCCCUUAGGUCAAGGAUAACCUCGGAAAACUGAGGCUAAACCUUGAUAUAGGAAAAUAUCUGGAAUGAUUUUUCCUUGAAACUCGUGCCUAAGGAUGAGUCGGCGGUGGAUUAGGCUGUUGGUGAGGUAAAGGCUCACCAAACCUGAGAUCCAUAGGGGCCCUGAAAGGGGUAGCCCCGAGAAGGGAACUGAGACACUGUCCCUAGCCCUACGGGGUGCAGCAGGCGCGAAACCUUUACACUGCACGAAAGUGUGAUAAGGGGAUCCUAAGUGCUCAUGUUUUACAUGGGCUUUUAUCAAGAGUAAAUAUCUUGGCGAAUAAGUGGUGGGUAAGACUGGUGCCAGCCGCCGCGGUAACACCAGCGCCACAAGUGGUGACCAGCAUUAUUGGGCCUAAAGCGUCCGUAGCAGGAAAAACAAAUCUUUUGUGAAACUGUUCAGCUCAACUGAACAACGUGCAGGAGACACUAUUUUUCUAGAGACCGGGAGGAGUCAGAGGUAUUUUUGGGGGAGCGGUAAAAUGCUAUAAUCCCAAGAGGACCACCGAUGGCGAAGGCAUCUGACUAGAACGGAUCUGACUGUGAGGGACGAAGGCCAGGGGAGCGAACCGGAUUAGAUACCCGAGUAGUCCUGGCAGUAAACGCUGCGAGCUAGGUGUUGCGCAAUCCACGGAUUGUGCAGUGUCGAAAUGAAGAUGUUAAGCUCGCCGCCUGGGAAGUACGGUCGCAAGACUGAAACUUAAAGGAAUUGGCGGGGGAGCACUACAAGGGGUGCGGCGUGCGGUUUAAUCUAACUUAACGCAGAGAAUCUCACCAGGAGCGACGGCAGAAUGAAGGUCAGUCUAAAGGGCUUACCUAACGAGCCGAGAGGUGGUGCAUGGCCGUCGUCAGCUCGUGCCGUAAGGUGUCCUGUUAAGUCAGGCAACGAGCGAGACCUGCGCUUAUAAUUGCUAACAGCCUUUGGGACUGAGCACAUUAUGAGGACUGCCUUGGAAACAAGGAGGAAGGUGCAGGCUACGGUAGGUCUGUAUGCCCCGAAUCCUCUGGGCUACACGCGCGCAACAAUGGUAAGGACAAUGGGAUGCGACUCCGAAAGGAGAAGCUAAACCUCUAAACCUUAUCCUAGUCUAGAUUGAGGAUUGUAACUCAUCCUCAUGACAACGGAAUCCCUAGUAAUCAGAUCUUAUCAUGAUCUGGUGAAUAUGUCCCUGCUCCUUGCACACACCGCCCGUCAAUCCAACCGAGCAGGGUUUAGGUGAGCCUUAGUUUCUUGACUAAGUCGAACCUAAGCUCAGUGAGGUGGGGUAAGUCGUCACAAGGUA
rnacentral:rRNA from 1 species